rnacentral:rRNA from 1 species
GACGAACGCUGGCGGCGUGCUUAACACAUGCAAGUCGAGCGGUAAGGCCUCCUUCGGGGGGUACACGAGCGGCGAACGGGUGAGUAACACGUGAGUAAUCUGCCCUUCACUCUGGGAUAAGCACCGGAAACGGUGUCUAAUACCGGAUACGACCAACCUACGCAUGUGGUGUUGGUGGAAACUUUUUUGGGUGGGGGAUGUGCUCGCGGCCUAUCAGCUUGAUGGUGGGGUAAUGGCCUACCAUGGCGUCGACGGGUAGCCGGCCUGAGAGGGUGACCGGUCACACUGGGACUGAGACACGGCCCAGACUCCUACGGGAGGCAGCAGUGGGGAAUAUUGGACAAUGGGCGGAAGCCUGAUCCAGCAACGCCGCGUGAGGGAUGACGGCCUUCGGGUUGUAAACCUCUUUCAUCACCGACGAAGGCUCAUCUUUUGGGUGGGUUGACGGUAGGUGGAGAAGAAGCACCGGCCAACUACGUGCCAGCAGCCGCCGUAACAC